UCAGAUGGUUGGAUGAUCGCUCCUUUAUAGGAGAGGAAAGUCCGGGCUCCAUGAGACACAGUGCCGGGUAACACCCGGCGAGGGUAACCUCAGGGAAAGUGCCACAGAAAAUAAACCGCCAUUAUGGUAAGGGUGAAAAGGUGCGGUAAGAGCGCACCGCAAGUUUGGUAACAGGCUUGGCAAGGUAAACCCCACUGGGAGCAAGACCAAAUAGGAACUCGGUGUCUAAAUUUUAGCAAAGUCUAUCUCUGGACUUGAAGUUCGGGUAGGUCGCAUGAGACUUUUGGUAACAAAAGUCCUAGAUAAAUAGUCAUCACCCAAUAGGGUACAGAACCCGGCUUAUAGACCGUCUGGCAUA
rnacentral:RNase_P_RNA from 1 species